rnacentral:rRNA from 1 species
UCCCCUAGUAACUGCGAGUGAAGCGGGAAAAGCUCAAAUUUAAAAUCUGGUAGUCUUUGGCUGCCCGAGUUGUAAUCUAGAGAAGCGUUAUCCGCGCUGGACCGUGUACAAGUCUCCUGGAAUGGAGCGUCAUAGAGGGUGAGAAUCCCGUCUUUGACACGGACUACCAGGGCUUUUGUGAUGCGCUCUCGAAGAGUCGAGUUGUUUGGGAAUGCAGCUCAAAAUGGGUGGUAAAUUCCAUCUAAAGCUAAAUAUUGGCGAGAGACCGAUAGYGAACAAGUACCGUGAGGGAAAGAUGAAAAGAACUUUGGAAAGAGAGUUAAACAGUACGUGAAAUUGCUGAAAGGGAAACGCUUGAAGUCAGUCGCGUUGUCCAGGGAUCAACCUUGCUUUUGCUUGGUGCACUUUCUGGUUGACGGGUCAGCAUCAAUUUUGACUAUUGGAAAAAGAUCAGGGGAAUGUGGCAUCUUCGGAUGUGUUAUAGCCCUUGGUUGCAUACAAUGGUUGGGAUUGAGGAACUCAGCACGCCGCAAGGCCGGGUUUUAACCACGUACGUGCUUAGGAUGCUGGCAUAAUGGCUUUAAUCGACCCGUCUUGAAACACGGACCAAGGAGUCUAACAUGCCUGCGAGUGUUUGGGUGGAAAACCCGAGCGCGUAAUGAAAGUGAAAGUUGAGAUCCCUGUCGUGGGGAGCAUCGACGCCCGGACCAGACCUUUUGUGACGGUUCCGCGGUAGAGCAUGUAUGUUGGGACCCGAAAGAUGGUGAACUAUGCCUGAAUAGGGUGAAGCCAGAGGAAACUCUGGUGGAGGCUCGUAGCGAUUCUGACGUGCAAAUCGAUCGUCAAAUUUGGGNUAUAGGGGCGAAAGACUAAUCGA